rnacentral:rRNA from 1 species
AGUGAACGCUGGCGGUAGGCCUAACACAUGCAAGUCGAACGGCAGCACAGUAAGAGCUUGCUCUUACGGGUGGCGAGUGGCGGACGGGUGAGGAAUACAUCGGAAUCUACUUUUUCGCGGGGGAUAACGUAGGGAAACUUACGCUAAUACCGCAUACGACCUACGGGUGAAAGCAGGGGAUCUUCGGACCUUGCGCGAUUGAAUGGGCCGAUGUCGGAUUAGCUAGUUGGCGGGGUAAAGGCCCACCAAGGCGACGAUCCGUAGCUGGUCUGAGAGGAUGAUCAGCCACACUGGAACUGAGACACGGUCCAGACUCCUACGGGAGGCAGCAGUGGGGAAUAUUGGACAAUGGGCGCAAGCCUGAUCCAGCCAUACCGCGUGGGUGAAGAAGGCCUUCGGGUUGUAAAGCCCUUUUGUUGGGAAAGAAAAGCAGCAGGUUAAUACCCCGCUGUUCUGACGGUACCCAAAGAAUAAGCACCGGCUAACUUCGUG